GCAAAUAACUGUGUCUGUAAUCC
rnacentral:siRNA from 1 species